UGCCCUUCCAUCUACUAUAGUGAGCUUUUUUGGUCUACCUAUUUUGAGAUUCUUAUUAUUAAAAGUGAUCUUUUCUGCUAGCCUAGAGAUAGUAACUUUAUUGUAGCCAAGUACAAAAGUAAUUUGGCUAUAAGAUUUUUGAAAAUGACGAAGAGUAGAGGUGAUGUUGUCUUGGAGAGAGUGGAGAAUGGAUUUCAUAGUUGUUCAAAGAAUUGUUAAGGAUACGAAUUUGAAAAAGAAAUAUGUUAAGAUUAAAGACAAAGAAUGAGAUUAAUAACAAAAGUGGUUCCAAAGAUUCCUAUUUAUAUUAUAAUGAAGAUUAUAAAAAUCUAUAGUACUUUCUAUGGAAGUUUUUAGAAGUCUAAAGAAGCUUCUAGAAAUCUAAAGAGGCUUCUAGAAGCCUAUUGAACUUUCUAAAAGAUUGUAAAAUAUUUUACAAGUAUUUAGAAGGUUCUAAAAAUUUGUAAAAGAUUCUAAAAGGUCCUAGAAUAUGGUAAGAUGGAAUAUG
rnacentral:lncRNA from 1 species